UACGGGGGGAGCAAGCGUUGUUCGGAUUUACUGGGCGUAAAGGGCGGGUAGGCGGCCACCGCAAGUCAGUUGUGAAAUCUCUGGGCUUAACCCAGAAAGGUCAACUGAUACUGCGGGGCUAGAGUGCAGAAGGGGCAACUGGAAUUCUCGGUGUAGCGGUGAAAUGCGCAGAUAUCAGGAAGAACACCCGUGGCGAAGGCGGCUUUCUGGGACGGUACUGACGCUGAGACGCGAAAGCGUGGGGAGCGAACAGG
rnacentral:rRNA from 1 species